rnacentral:lncRNA from 1 species
AUGACUAUUAGCCAUUGUUCUCGUCAUAUCUUUUUAUUUAUUUACAUAGGAACCGGUGUUGCAGCGGGUUUUGGUUUAGGAGGGAACCAGAGGUAUGCAGACAGUUUUGGAGGACACUUAGCACGAGACAACGGUCCGGCAGAGAGUGUUUUCCCCCAGAAGAAUAUGAAUGAAAGACCAACAAAUAAUCCAGAUAUGGCACUGGCACAGCAGCAGGUUUUGUCUGAAGAAACAAACAGCAUUUCAGAGGAACAUCUUGAUCAGCACAGCCUUAUGCUUAAAAAAUAAGCAAGACCAGUAAGCAACCAAGAAUACUGGGAGCCUGCCUGUGCAAACUGGACCUCAUACAACAGUAAGUACUGUACAUCUAUUUGUUUCUCAAUAUAUUAACGUUACUUUAAUACAAAAUGUGUCACAUGUUUAGUUGCUAG